ACAUUCUAGAGCGGGGCUGUCCAACCUGCGGGCCCCCAGAUGUUGCUGAACUCCAACUCCCACGAUUCCCUGGCUAUAUGUUUAAUUGAAAGAAUCAUGGGAGUUAUAGUUCAGCAACAUCUGGGGGGCCGCAGGUUGGACAGCCCUGUUCUAGAGUGU